rnacentral:sRNA from 1 species
UUUUUGAUUUUUUUUUCUUUUCUUUU